UGGCAAGCUGAUUUCUCUGUCAGCCAUGCUGUUGCAGAGUACAAUAGUGGAUAUGUAAGGAGCUGUCUAGACAUACCACUUGGCUAUGGACGUUUAGCAUUGACUCAAAGAUAGCUUGAAUCAAUGGACAAGAACAUGCAGGCAGCACGGACCCCAAAAUACAAGAAGAGGAAAAGGGGGACGGACACGUCCUACGAGCCUGGAGGACAUUAAAUAAUCAUCUAUGUCCACCUACUCCUAGUCAAAGUUUGAUUGGGAUGGAUCGUCAUGAUUGGCCGGCUGCCAGAGAACUUCAGGAUGAAGGGAUCUUCAUGGAACUUCAGGAAUAUUGUCCAUACAACCAGUUCUACUCUCAAUAAACGUAUAAAUGCA